AUCAGUGCAAACCACGUGAUCAUCCAUGGGAGCCGUGCAGAGUCGCUUAGAUAAUAAGAACCGCAGAAUCCGAGAUAACACGGUGUGCAGCUGGAUGAACUCAGCAGGUCAAGCAGCAUCAGAGGAGCAGGAAAGCUGACGUUUCGGGCCUAGAUCCUUUGCUGAGACCAAGAUUUUUGCAAUUGAGAUACCAGCGAUCGUUGCCAAAGCCCUGUUGCCUGUGGAGAACGUGAUGUUUAACUUUCGUGUCCUGCAGCAGUUCGUACAAUGAAGGUGCUCCCACAAUGCAGCCAUUUGAGAAGUUACAGAUCAUUGAUCUAGUGAUACUGAAGAGCUGAUGGUGAUAUUGCAAGUGGACUUUCAGGUGGGAAUCACAAUAAUUGUAACACCAAACUCUGACAGAAUUACUCAAUUCAUCAGGACCUGGAUAUUUGCAUUAUAUUUCCACAAUUUUACUUCUGCGCUGUUCUUAGUCUUUCAGAGGGAUUGAAAGGUUGAGUUACAGAUCUAUACAAUGCCUGUCCCACCUCUCCUUCUGUAAUUUUGUGCAAACAGAUUGGAUCGUUUACCUGGAUGAUAUUUAUUUGUGAAUGAAUUUGUUCUAAUGAUGAUCCAGCAUAUUUCCCAAGUGUCGCUCCACAAAUGUCCAGAGGAUUUCUCAGUUUCACAAUCUGUUUGCUUCUGGUUUCUCACUCACUGCACUUACUUUCUGUUUGAAAGCUUAGUCUGCAGUUUGGAGAAUUCAAACUGUUCCACAUCCAGGUCUGACAGUCACUUUGUUUAUCACAACCCAAUUAUCUCAGGAUUUUGAACAUUGAAGGAAAAAGCAGCAUUCACACUAGGGAGAAAUGCAUAUGGUUUGUGUGUCAAAGAGUCUGUGAAGAUUCAUCUGAAAUGUCCUAACACCAGCACAGUGAUACUGGGGAGAGACUGUGGAAAUGUGCGGAUUGCAGGAAGUAAUUUCUUCAUCCAUCCCAGCUAGAAACUGACCACCAGAGUCACACUGGAGAGAGACCAUUCACCCGCUCUGAUUGUGGAAUGGGAUUCACUCAGUCAUCAAACCUGCUUAAACACCAGGGAGUUCACACUGGAGAGAAACCAUUUACUUACUCGGAAUGUGGGAAAGCAUUCACUCGGACACCUCAACUGCUGAUACACCAGCAAAUUCACACUGGAGAGAGACCAUUGGCCUGUUGUGUGUGGGAAAGGCUUUGCUGACUUGAAUUCCCCUCUGACACACCAACAAGUUCACUCUGGGGAGAGACCAUUCAUGAGCUCUGAGUGUGGGAAAGCAUUCACUCAGUCAUCCAAACAGUGGUUCACAAAGAACCACAGUUGAAGGAUUUUGCUAUCACUCUCACGAUCAAAUGAACCAUGGUUUUGGGCUGUUUGUACUGAUGUUACUAAUCCCUGCUCAAUUAAAGGUGCUGGUAUUGUGAAUAAAAUGUUAAUAACAGUUGUAUAUCUGUCAGGUAGAGCUUGGAAAUAGUCACAUUGUCAUGACACAUCAACACAUUCACACUGACUAAAGACUAUCCACCUGCACAGCAUGUGAAAAGGGAUUUCCUGGUUCAUCAGGACUGGUUAACUAGCAGCAAAUUUGAGUAACUUUGUUUUUAUUUGAUUCUGCUGUUAGCUAUCUCCAAACCAUGUAUUUUUGCGCUUGUUUCUGGCAAUCGUAGAAUCCCUCCAGUGUGGAAGCAGACGAUUUGGCCCAUAAAGUCCACACUGAACUUACGAAGAGUGUCUUACCCAGACCCUGUCUGCGUCGGUUUCCUCUUACAGCCCAUAAAUGUGCAAAGUAGGUAGAUUGACUAUGCUAAAUUACCCUUAGUGUCUUGUGUGCAAAAUGCAAGGACAGAGUAGGGUGUGAGACUGGGUGGGAUGCUCUUUGGAGGGUUCAUGUGGACUCAAUGGACUGAAUGGCUAUCUUCCACACUGUAGGAAUUCUAUGAUAAUCUCGAUGGCCCUUUAUUUGUUAGUUAUGUCUGCACACCUUUUACAAUUACAGAUUCUAUUGCUCUCCACAGACACAUUUCAAAUUUUAAUAGAUAUUUGUUCAUUGGAAAUGAUGUAAUGUUUCCUUUUGAUUUUUAUCCACAAAAUUAAAGUUUUAAAUCUAAACAAAA